AUGCAUCAGAUUUCUAUGUUUUGCAUCAGCUACAGAAUGCAUCACACAGUGAUAAACAACUUGCCCUGUAACAGUGUAACUAACAGUGUAACUGCUGCCUUACGUACUGAACACCAAGCAUCUAUCUGUCAGGCACUAUGCUUAACACCCCACAGGAGCUCAUUUAAUCCUCCACAGAGCUUUCUGGCGCCAUUUUCGGAAAGGAUACCUUGCCCACAAGGCCCAUUCUUGUUGAUGAUGGAAAUUAUCAUACUCUUGUUAUCAAAUACCUAUCACAUAGCAGGUAACUCAGUUGGGCAAUCAACAGAUGCUAUGCCAUCUCGGCCUCCCAACAGCCCUCUCCCAAUCCCUGCGCUGCCGAAGAGGAAAAGCAGAUUCUGGUUUUCCUCUUCCAAGAGCUCCACUCACAGAUCGGCUGAGUGCUGGACAGGAUCGCCUGUCGGGGCUCUUCUACACGGUUUUUCUGGCCUGCGCGCUCCCUGGACUGAACUGUGCGUGCUUUCUAUUGCUAUGUUCACAAGGCCAUUUUCUUUUCCCUACGGUGCCUGUGUGUAAGUUGAUCAGUUGCUCAGUCCAGUAGCCUGUCAGGCUCCUCUGUCCAUGGUAUUUUCCAGGCAAGAAAACUGGAGUGCGUCGUCAUUUCCUUCUCCAGGAGAUCUUCCAACCCAGGGACUGAACUCGCAUCUCUGGCAUCCUUUGCACUGGCAGGCUGUUUCUUUACGGCCGCGUCUUUCUUGUGUCUACUCUGUUGAUGAUCCCACCCAAUAUAUCUGUCAUUUCAGAUACUGUAUUUUUUCAUCUUCAGACGGUCAAUUUGAGGGGUUUUUUUUAAAUGUCUUCCAUUUUUUCUUCAAUGUUCAUGUUCUCAUUUAAAUACCUGAACAUAAUUCAAUAAUAAAAAGACAAGCCAAUUAAAAAUGGACAAAGGAUCUGAAUACACAGUUCUCCAAAGAAGAUAUACAAAGGGCCAACAAGCAUCUGAAAAGAUGCUUACCAUCACUAGGAAAAUGCACAUCCCAACCGUGAGACAGGACUUUACAUCCAAAAGGAUGGCUAUCCUCAAAAAGGCAGAUAAUAAUAAGCAUGAGCAAGGAUGUGAAGAAAUCAAAACUCUCAUACACAGCUGGUGGGAAUGUUAAACGGUACAGCCAAGUUGAAAAAUCUAUGAUCCAGCAAAUUAGACUCCUAAGUAUAUAUGCAAGAAAAAUGAAAACAUAUGUCCAGACAAACACCUCUAUACAUAUUUGAACACUUACAGCGUCACUACUUAAAACACUCAGAAGGUGGAAACAAGCCGAUGUCUAUCAUGACAAGUGGAUAAGCAGAGCGCAGUACUGAGACACGCAUUCAGGGACCGCUAUUCAGCCAAAGAAAGGAAUGAAGGACUGGUACAUCGUACAAGAGGAAUGAAACUUGCUAACAUCAGGUUAAAUGAAAGAAGUCAGUCCUAACAGACCACAUAUCACAUGAUUCGAUUUGUAUGACAUGCUCAGAACAGAGACAAAAGUAGAUUAAUGGUCACUUAGGACUGGGAGGCAUGAGGCUUGCAGACAGCAGCAGCUAACAGGCACAGGGGAUCUUCCCGAGGUGAUCACAGUGUUCUAAAAUUGACCUGGUGAUGGCUACACAUAUCUUUGUGCACACUAAAACAACUGAUUUCUACUUUAAAUGGGUGAAUUGUAUGAUACAUGAAUUGUAUCUCAAUAAGGGGAAAAAUGGGCUUCCCUGGUGACUCAGCUGGUAAAGAAUCCAUCCGCCUGCAAUGUGGGAGACCUGGGUUCGAUCCCUGAGUUGGGAAGAU
rnacentral:lncRNA from 1 species